GCGCGAUUAGCCCAGUUGGUAGAGCGAUUCUAAUCUGCGGGUCCUUGGUUCGAGCCCAAGAUCGCGCACCA
rnacentral:tRNA from 1 species